rnacentral:rRNA from 1 species
CUGGGUUCAGAACGUCGCGAGACAGUUUGGUCCCUAUCUGCCGUGGGCGUCGAUACUUGAGAGGAGUUGUCCCUAGUACGAGAGGACCGGGAUGAACAUGCCUCUGGUGUACCUGUCGUGGCGCCAGCCGCGCAGCAGGGUAGCUAUGCAUGGACGGGAUAACCGCUGAAAGCAUCUAAGCGGGAAGCCUCCCUCAAGAUAAGGUAUCAUCGAGUCGUGGUAGACCACCACGUUGAUAGGCUGGAUGUGGAAGCGCGGUAACGUGUGGAGCUAACCAGUCCUAAUAACUCUGUUCAUGCUUGA